rnacentral:rRNA from 1 species
UACGUAGGUGACAAGCGUUGUCCGGAUUUACUGGGCGUAAAGAGCGCGCAGGCGGUCGAUCAAGUCGAGUGUGAAAGCCCCCGGCUCAACUGGGGAGGGUCAUUCGAUACUGAUCGACUCGAAGGCAGGAGAGGGUAGUGGAAUUCCCAGUGUAGAGGUGAAAUUCGUAGAUAUUGGGAAGAACACCGGUGGCGAAGGCGGCUCUCUGGACCGAGACUGACGCUGAGGCGCGAAAGCGUGGGGAGCAAACAGG